UACGGGGGGGGCAAGCGUUGUUCGGAAUCACUGGGCAUAAAGGGCGCGUAGGCGGCUUUCUAAGUCAGGGGUGAAAUCCGGCAGCUCAACUGUCGCAGUGCCUUUGAUACUGGAGAGCUCGAGGGAGGUAGGGGUCUGUGGAACUUCCGGUGGAGCGGUGAAAUGCGUUGAUAUCGGAAGGAACGCCGGUGGCGAAAGCGACGGACUGGAUCUCUUCUGACGCUGAGGCGCGAAAGCCAGGGGAGCAAACGGG
rnacentral:rRNA from 1 species